rnacentral:rRNA from 1 species
UACAGAGGUGGCAAGCGUUGUUCGGAAUUACUGGGCGUAAAGGGCGCGUAGGCGCCUUCUAAGUCAGACGUGAAAUCCCCCGGCUUAACCUGGGAACUGCGUCUGAUACUGGGAGGCUUGAGUAUGGGAGAGGGAUGUAGAAUUCCAGGUGUAGCGGUGAAAUGCGUAGAUAUCUGGAGGAAUACCGGUGGCGAAGGCGGCAUCCUGGGACCAUUACUGACGCUGAGGCGCGAAAGCUAGGGGAGCAAACGGGG